rnacentral:rRNA from 1 species
GUAGGGGUGCAAGCGUUAUCCGGGAAUCAUUGGGCGUAAAGAGCUCGUAGGCGGUUCAGCAAGUCGGCUGUGAAAUCCCGAGGGCUUAACCUCGGAACUGCAGUCGAUACUGCUGUGACUAGAGUCCGGUAGAGGAGAAUGGAAUUCCCGGUGUAGCGGUGAAAUGCGCAGAUAUCGGGAGGAACACCAGUAGCGAAGGCGGUUCUCUGGGCCGGUACUGACGCUGAGGAGCGAAAGCGUGGGUAGCAAACAGGAUUAGAUACCCUGGUAGUCCACGCCGUAAACGUUGGACACUAGGUGUGGCGUUCCGACCAACGGGUGCCGUGCCGAAGCUAACGCAUUAAGUGUCCCGCCUGGGGAGUACGGCCGCAAGGCUA